rnacentral:rRNA from 1 species
UACGUAGGGUGCGAGCGUUGUCCGGAAUUAUUGGGCGUAAAGAGCUUGUAGGCGGUUUGUCGCGUCUGCCGUGAAAAUCCGGGGCUCAACCCCGGACUUGCGGUGGGUACGGGCAGACUAGAGUGUGGUAGGGGGAGACGUGGAAUUCCUGGUGUAGCGGUGAAAUGCGCAGAUAUCAGGAGGAACACCGAUGGCGAAGGCAGGUCUCUGGGCCACUACUGACGCUGAGAAGCGAAAGCGUGGGGAGCGAACAGG